rnacentral:lncRNA from 1 species
GGGAGACAGAGGCGCUGACCCCGGGACAGAGCCUGGCUUUGUGCGGGAGGCAGACGCGCCCCGCGCGCCGCCCCCGAAACAUUCGCACCCCAUGCUGAGGCGCGCGUCUGGGAGUCCGUGGGCGCCCCGAGAAAACCACUGAUGAUGUGCAGGAGAAUCACAGCUGGGAAGAAACACAGGAGGACCUUUUCCUUCAUCACCAACCAUGCCCCCCCCCAGCCUCCACCCCCGCCCCGAGGGAGAGGCCUGGGGAGCACAGGCUACUUUCUGAGCUUCCGGAAGUUGCAGGUCAACCUGGCGGCAAUUUGGCACCAGGAGCCACCAGUGUGGCCGCGGCCCCUGACCCUGUAAUCCCACAUCGGGCACCCAGCCUAAGAAAACGACACGUUUGCUUCAAGGGCUCAGAGCACCAGGAUUUAAAACAGCAACUAGGAACAACCUAAGAUCCUAGGUGCUCCGAGAUCAAGAUGCCAGAAAAUAAAUCAAAUCAAA